CCCAGUGGUAUGCGUUUCCCUUCGACACGUCACCGGCCCCUCACUUUAAAAGGCGUCCCCCUCAGACCUGAGGCUCAUUCCUGUAGUGAACUGCAGACCUGCUGUGAAACACAGGAUGAUUUACAAAAACUUUAGGGGUUACCACAUGUGGUAAUCUUGCCUCCAUAGGUGGGAAGCCACCUUGCAUCUUGGACCUGAAGGGAGAGACCCUAGUUUCAUUAUACCAAUGAAGAAGUCUGAGCUGGAUGUGUAGACAACAGGGGCUAAGAAUAUCUCACCAAAAUGUGCUAAGUGAGUCGUGAUACAAGAAGAAGCCAAGUUCCCCAAUUCAUGGAUUGCCAGUUCCCUCUUUCUUUGAAGAAGAACACGAGUGAAAGCUUCCAAGCGACUCGAGAUGACUUGGACAACAUGGCCAUCACGUAGAAUCUAAAAACAAUGAACCUCUUUGUCCUGAUAAAGAUGACAAACAAA